GACGAAGGGGGCUAGCGUUGUUCGGAAUUACUGGGCGUAAAGCGCGUGUAGGCGGUUAUCCAAGUCGGGUGUGAAAGCCUUGAGCUCAACUCAAGAAAUGCAUUCGGUACUGGGUGACUAGAGGACCGGAGAGGAUAGUGGAAUUCCCAGUGUAGUGGUGAAAUACGUAGAGAUUGGGAAGAACACCCGUGGCGAAGGCGGCUCUCUGGGACGGUACUGACGCUGAGACGCGAAAGCGUGGGGAGCGAACAGG
rnacentral:rRNA from 1 species